GACGAACGCUGGCGGCGUGCUUAACACAUGCAAGUCGAACGGAAAGGCCCUGCUUUUGUGGGGUGCUCGAGUUGCGAACGGGUGAGUAACACGUGAGUAACCUGCCCUUGACUUUGGGAUAACUUCAUGCAACUGGGGCUAAUACCGGAUAGGAGCUCCUGCUGCAUGGUGGGGGUUGGAAAGUUUCGGCGGUUGGGGAUGGACUCGCGGCGUAUCAGCUUGUUGGUGGGGUAGUGGCUUACCAAGGCUUUGACGGGUAGCCGGCCUGAGAGGGUGACCGGCCACAUUGGGACGGAGAUACGGCCCAGACUCCUACGGGAGGCAGCAGUGGGGAAUAGUGCACAAUGGGCGGAAGCCUGAUGCAGCAACGCCGCGUGCGGGGUGACAGCCUGCGGGUUGUAAACCGCUUUCGCCUGUGACGAAGCGUGAGUGACGGUAAUGGGUAAAGAAGCACCGGCUAACUACGUG
rnacentral:rRNA from 1 species